UACGUAGGGGGCGAGCGUUAAUCGGAAUUACUGGGCGUAAAGCGUGCGCAGGCGGUUCGUUGUGUCGGUGGUGAAAGCCCCGGGCUUAACCUGGGAAUGGCCAUGGAAACUGGCGAACUGGAGUGUGGCAGAGGGGGGUGGAAUUCCGCGUGUAGCAGUGAAAUGCGUAGAGAUGCGGAGGAACACCGAUGGCGAAGGCAGCCCCCUGGGCUAGCACUGACGCUCAUGCACGAAAGCGUGGGGAGCAAACAGG
rnacentral:rRNA from 1 species